rnacentral:snoRNA from 1 species
AUCCCAUGAUUUGGACACUUCCUUAUCAACUCCUUAAAUCUGUUUCGUGCCUCGUAAUAGCUCUCCCCAUCUUUCUGCUUGAAUUUCAGUCUAAUUUUUGCUACU